ensembl:miRNA
UAGCAGCACAUAAUGGUUUGUGGAUUUUGAAAAGGUGCAGGCCAUAUUGUGCUGCCUCAAAAAUACAA